GGGGGGGCGGCUAUACUGCAGUCGACGAACUUCCGUUAAUUGAUUAUGACGUACUUGUACUGAUUGAGAUUUUAACACGAAGUGAGUGGCGAACGGGUGAGUAACACGUGGGUAACCUGCCCAGAAGUAGGGGAUAACACCUGGAAACAGAUGCUAAUACCGUAUAACAGAGAAAACCGCAUGGUUUUCUUUUAAAAGAUGGCUCUGCUAUCACUUCUGGAUGGACCCGCGGCGUAUUAGCUAGUUGGUGAGGUAAAGGCUCACCAAGGCAGUGAUACGUAGCCGACCUGAGAGGGUAAUCGGCCACAUUGGGACUGAGACACGGCCCAGACUCCUACGGGAGGCAGCAGUAGGGAAUCUUCCACAAUGGACGCAAGUCUGAUGGAGCAACGCCGCGUGAGUGAAGAAGGGUUUCGGCUCGUAAAGCUCUGUUGUUAAAGAAGAACGUGGGUAAGAGUAACUGUUUACCCAGUGACGGUAUUUAACCAGAAAGCCACGGCUAACUACGUGCCAGCAGCCGCGGUAAUACGUAGGUGGCAAGCGUUAUCCGGAUUUAUUGGGCGUAAAGCGAGCGCAGGCGGUCUUUUAAGUCUAAUGUGAAAGCCUUCGGCUCAACCGAAGAAGUGCAUUGGAAACUGGGAGACUUGAGUGCAGAAGAGGACAGUGGAACUCCAUGUGUAGCGGUGAAAUGCGUAGAUAUAUGGAAGAACACCAGUGGCGAACGCGGCUGUCUGGUCUGCAACUGACGCUGAGGCUCGAAAGCAUGGGUAGCGAACACGAUUACAUACCCUGGUAGUCCAUGCCGUAAACGAUGAUUACUAAGUGUUGGAGGGUCUCCGCCCUUCAGUGCUGCAGCUAACGCAUUAAGUAAUCCGCCUGGGGAGUACGACCGCAAGGUUGAAACUCUAAAGAAUUGACGGCGGCCCGCACAAGCUGGUGGAGCAUGUGGUUUAAUUCGAAGCUACGCGAAGAACCUUACCAGGUCUUGACAUCUUCUGACA
rnacentral:rRNA from 1 species